CAUCUUCGCAGGCAUAUCGUCGUGCACGGCCUUUUCGGGCCUCCCCAAUUUUUCGAGUGUGGCCCCAGA
rnacentral:ribozyme from 1 species